GUGUUUCUUCAAUCCAAAGACAGAGACCAGAAAACAGAAAUGCUGAACCUAAAAAGUGAAGGUGAGCUCAUGCUUCUGCACUUCAUCUGUUUUAUACAUGUUUAUGUAAUAGCAGCCUAAUGUGUAAUUCAUUUAUUGUCAACAACAGACUGCUGACGUGCAAAUGUAGGUGUUGUAUAAGAGAAUAAAUAUGGACUUCUUACGGUACAACGGUAAACUUGCUGCUGUUCAGAUGAUCCAGAUCUGGUAUAAAUGCAGUGUUUUAUGCUUAUGAACAGUCUUCUCUCAUCAGAUGUUAACGCUGGUGGUUUAUUAAACCAAGGAGACACUUGUUACCUGAACAAUGUGAAGCAGGAGCUGUUCCAAGGCUUCAGAGAAGCUGUGGAGAGACACAACACCUGCAUGGAUCGACACCUUAAAGACCUGUUUGAUGAGCUGCAGCGUCGCACACCCAGCACCAACACAAUCCUAAACAAGCUGGGCAUCGACAGAGUGUGGGAACAACAAGACGCUGCUGAGUUCUACGUAAAGAUCUUAAGUCAAACCAGUGAAGCUGCUUCACAGAUCUUCCACGGAGCGUUGACACAUACGACCAUAUGUCAUAAUCCUCAGUGUGGAGCACAGAAACCUGCAGACUCACGUUUCUGGCAUCUUCCUCUCUCAUUGAAUGAUUCCCACAGUGAAGAAUAUCAAGUGGUGGACGGCAUCAGGGAGUUUUUCAGAGAUUCUCAUUUCAGUGGACUGGACCAGAUGUACUGUGAGGAGUGUGAUGACAAAGUGGACGCGACUGUUGUGAGUGAUCACAGCGUGUCUGAUGCACCAACAUUAACAGUGUUUAUUAAUGUUCAUAAUUUAAUAAGCAGCUGAUGACAACAUAUUAAAACAUGUUCAUGUGUUUGCUUCAGACAUGUGAAGUGAAGCAUCAUCCAGAGGUUUUAGUUCUGCUGCUGAAGAGGUUUGACUUUGACUAUCGUUACAUGAGAUACGUCAAAAACAACCGCGCUGUGAUUGUUCCUGUCACUCUGAACCUCCCAGAGGUACUUAUACUGUUUGUUUACAGCAUCUUUAUUCUUCUCUGGUCCUAAAGCCUGUGAUGUCUAUUGGUCCAUCAGAACCAGACCUAUGAGCUCUAUGCUGUGGUGGAUCACGCUGGUGAUCUCAGAGAUGGACAUUAUGCUGCAACCAUCAAGUCUCAGGACGACGAUCGAUGGUACAACUUCAAUGACGGCAUCGUCUCAUUGGUAAAACUGAUCAGCUUCACUCUGACGAUGCUGAUAAUUGUUGGUCCACAUCAGUGUUUCAGGAUGUUUUAAUCUCCUUUUCUUCCACAGCUCAGUUACCAGCCGUUCCAGGUGGAUCACACUGAGAGGCGGGUUUUUAUCUGUUGGUUUUUAACACAUACAUGAUCCUGAAUAUAAAAACAACAUUCUAGCUCUUCUCUUUUCUCCAUCCAGGUCCCACAGCGCGUAUCUUCUAUUCUACAGGAAACAGACAAGUAAAAGACAAACGUUUCCUUCAUGUUUAAACACAGUUUAACAAACACAUCAAACUGAUACUUACUUUAUAUCUUUUAUGUAGGUGUGACACCAGGUGGACGACAGACCUCAGGUCAGAUACAGGAUGUGUUGAAGCUGUUGAUUUUACAGUGUUUCCAGUUUUCCUUCAUGUUGCUUUUUCUCCUCAUUAGCUCCUAUAUAUCAUGGUUUAUUGAACCAAGGAGCCACAUGUUACCUGAACAGUUUGCUGCAGGUGCUGUUCAUGACCAGAGAGUUCAGAGGAGCUGUGGACAGGUUUGUUAUAUGAAGUA
rnacentral:lncRNA from 1 species